GACGAACGCUGGCGGCGUGCUUAACACAUGCAAGUCGAACGGAAAGGCCUUUUCGGUGGUACUCGAGUGGCGAACGGGUGGGUAACACGUGGGUGAGCUGCCCUGCACUCUGGGAGAAGCCUGGGAAACUGGGUCGAAUACCUGAUAGGACCGCGCUUUAGUGGGAGGGGGGGAGAGGUUUUUCGGUGUAGGAUGAGACCGCGGCCUAACAGCUUGUUGGUGGGGUAAUGGCCUCCCCAUGCGGCGACGGGGAGCCGGACUGGGAGGUUGGUCGGGCACCAUGGGAAUUGGGACAGGGCCAGAACCCUUCGGGAGGGAAGCGUUGGGGAUAAUGCCACAUGGGGCCGAGCCCUAUGGCAGGAACCCGGCUUGGGGAUGAAGGGCUUCGGGUUGUUAAACCCCUUCGCCAGGGACGAAGCGUUUUGUGACGGUACCUGGUGAAGAAGCACCGGCUAACUACGUG
rnacentral:rRNA from 1 species